rnacentral:rRNA from 1 species
GACGAACGCUGGCGGCGUGCCUAAUACAUGCAAGUUGAGCGCUGAAGGUUGGUACUUGUACCAACUGGAUGAGCAGCGAACGGGUGAGUAACGCGUGGGGAAUCUGCCUUUGAGCGGGGGACAACAUUUGGAAACGAAUGCUAAUACCGAAUAAAAACUUUAAACACAAGUUUUAGGUUUGAAAAUUGCAAUUGCAUCACUCAAAGAUGAUCCCGCGUUGUAUUAGCUAGUUGGGGAGGUAAAGGCUCACCAAGGCGAUGAUACAUAGCCGACCUGAGAGGGUGAUCGGCCACAUUGGGACUGAGACACGGCCCAAACUCCUACGGGAGGCAGCAGUAGGGAAUCUUCGGCAAUGGACGAAAGUCUGACCGAGCAACGCCGCGUGAGUGAAGAAGGUUUUCGGAUCGUAAAACUCUGUUGGUAGAGAAGAACGUUGGUGAGAGUGGAAAGCUCAUCAAGUGACGGUAACUACCCAGAAAGGGACGGCUAACUACGUG